rnacentral:rRNA from 1 species
CUCAGAUUGAACGCUGGCGGCAUGCUUUACACAUGCAAGUCGAACGGCAGCACGAAAGAGCUUGCUCUUUUGGUGGCGAGUGGCGAACGGGUGAGUAAUACAUUGGAACGUACCGAGUAAUGGGGGAUAACUGUCCGAAAGGAUGGCUAAUACCGCAUACGCUCUGAGGAGGAAAGCGGGGGACCUUCGGGCCUCGCGUUAUUCGAGCGGCCAAUGUCUGAUUAGCUAGUUGGUGGGGUAAAGGCCUACCAAGGCGACGAUCAGUAGUGGGUCUGAGAGGAUGAUCCGCCACACUGGGACUGAGACACGGCCCAGACUCCUACGGGAGGCAGCAGUGGGGAAUUUUGGACAAUGGGCGAAAGCCUGAUCCAGCCAUGCCGCGUGUCUGAAGAAGGCCUUCGGGUUGUAAAGGACUUUUGUCAGGGAAGAAAGGGUUUGGGUUAAUACCCUGAGCUUA